rnacentral:misc_RNA from 1 species
UUAAAAGUAGUCAAUGCUGAUAGGAUAGUUUUAACUGAGUUAGAGGUGAUAGAUUAGGACUGUGGGCUUGUGUUGCAUAUGAUUACUCUGUACAAAUUUAGAAACAUUUAUAGGAAGGAUGGUCAUUUGAUUUGUGGUGUCUUCCAUAUAGUAGACUUUACAUAAUGAUUUUGUUGGUUGAUGCUCUUUCUUUGUUGAGCUUAUGUUUCAUG